GAUUAGUUGUCUAUCUUAAUGCCAAGGUGUCUUAUUUUUGUUUUAAAGAUAAGUGUUAUUGGCACAGAUUAAAGCAGAAUUUAGUGGCAGACCUGGUUCACAGUUUAGCCUGUAGCGGCAUUUCAUGAAGGCACUGCCUUACCAGCCCCAGUGCGUCCAGGGCGGUUCCCCAGGCGAGGGUGACUCCCCAGCCUCCAUGGCCGUAGUUGUGGACCACAGGGACCCUGCGGCCCUGCAGCUGCACCACCUCCCUCUCCACCCUGGGGUUCCUCCUGCUCGGCCUCAGACCGACCCACUCGCCGAGAACUUUGGCUUUACUGAUGGACGGCUCCAGCCCGCUGCAGCGCUCCAGGAUGCCCUUCGUGUCGCCCUCGUCCACUUGUAGUCGCCGGUCCCCCUCCUGCCUCGUGCCGCCUAUAGUGACGCAGUGCAUGCCGGGGAAGAUGUAGGUCUUUCCAUCUCCAUCUCUGAUGAAGUGCUGCAGCCAGGGGGCCUCCACCUUGAGGACCUGACCUCUGACGGGGUACACCUUGUUGUCACCCACCAGCAGUUUGGAGCCCAGCCCAGAGCAGUUGACAAUGACAUCAUAGCUGUUGCUUAAUUCCUGAAGACUGUUAACCUUCCUCUGUUCCACUAGACCUCCAGCCUUUCUGAACCUUUUACAAAACAAGAAUUUAUGUUGUUAUAAAGAGUGUCUUAAACUAUUCAUCUCAGUGGAAUUACAAUGUAAAUUAAACUGCAAUCAUCUGUAAAUUAUUGUUGGAAAAAUAAUAAUGACCUAACACCGUUUGACCUGACCAUGCGAGUUUAACAUGGAAGACGAACCUUUUCUCGAGCCACGGCAGGUAGCUGGAACAUUCACAUUUAAUGGUGGUGAACGCCUGUCCAAACUUGUGUUCUGGAAACCUUUUCAAUUCACUGUCUGUCAUGAAUCGAAAGCCAAUCACAGACUCUGACCAGAAGGGUUUCUUAUCGGCCGGAACGUCCUUGAAGAUCUGCCAACUGGAAUAGAAUCAAAACGAUGGACGUAAAACAAUCUAUUCAUCUAGUUCAUGAGUACUCAUCCCAUUUUUAUAGACCUGUAUAACAAUCACUACCCAGAGCUCAGCAUUACUCCAGCUUCCGGUGAGUGUUGGGAUUGAGCAAUAUCCAACAGGUGAUCAAAGCUGUUCUUGAACCAGCGUCUUUGUCUUUCCAAGGGAAUAUCUGAUAGAGAAAUGGAGUCAAAUCAGUCAUUUUCAACCACCUGUGUGCUAUGUAUGUGCAUGUAAAGGGUGGGGAUAGAAUAUGAAUUUAUGAACAUUACAAAUUAUUAUCAUCCUGGUAAAUUUGUACAGACUGAGGAAGAUUGUGAAAUAUAACAGUCGGUUUAAUGCAUUUUCUAAUGGGGAGAUUGUUGCGUACCUGGAAACUUUCCAGCAAACAGGAUCCCAGCAGCUCCAUCGCUGGUGGUGUCUGGACUGAACUUCUCAGCCAGCAGAGUCACGGAGCAGAAAGGAAGCGCCUCGGCGACGCAGACGGCAGUGGAGAAGCCAAUCACGCCUGCUCCCACCACUACAACCCGGACACUUUUCAUCCUGGAGAGGCCUGCGUCUCAAACUGGAGCUGUGCGUAAGUCUCGUCAGAAACUCAACUCUCGCGAUAAGUCGGUCACAUUCACCCUCUCCGGCCGAAGUGGAAGGUAAGGUCCUAAAAGCUCACUACUAUGUUGAGUUACGCCGCGUUUCGUGUGCAAACGGGAUCCAAACAGUGGUUUGGAUUUGGAUCCCGUCACUAACAGAAACGUCCUUUAGUGUAACACUAUUUCGGGCUCAAACGUUGUCAUUUCUGCAGGCUUUGGCCUGUUUGCUGGCUAGCAGCGGAUGCAUUGUUUGGGACGAUGCAAGUUAGCUUGCUUGCUAACCCUGAAGUAGUUCACAUCCCUGCAGGGUUUAUCUGCAGUUAUGAGACCGUAAACUAGUGAACUCUGUGUGGAUGUGGUAACGUUAGUACACAAUACGUGUAGAAUGCUAUGCACUAAGUUAUGAAAGGCAUAGUCAUGUGAAUGUUAAAUAUUUUUGAAUGUUUGCGAGCCUAAUUGAUCGGUCAGCCAUUGAUCAUUUAGGUAAUCAAUGAAUCGUCAUUUAUGAGUAAAACCAUUUCCAAACACUCUGUCUCCAGCUUUUGGAAAUGUGAGGUUGUUUUUCUAACUUUAUUAAUUUGUCUUUUGGACAGUUCAGAUAAGCAAUAUUAAUGACCACCUUUGUUUUAUAAAAGGCAUUUUUAACUAUGACGUUCAUAGACUACAGUGUUUUCAUUAUUAAUGAAUCUGUUGAUAAUUUUUUUAAUUGUUAAAAAUGUCCAUCACAAUUUCCCAUCUCUGGUAUUUUAGAACCAAAACAUAUUCACUUUACAAUGAUACGAAACACAAAAACGCAGAUAAUCUUUCAUAUAAAUGAAUUAAAAUGAUAAAUUAUCAGAUUUGUUGAUUAAUUUUCUGUUGAUCAACCAACCAAGCAAGAUUAUUUACACAACCUUUAUUUUAAAUGACAGUUCAUUGAUUCACUAGCGCCAAGAUCGAAAAGUGGCCGAUAUAUAGCUAUAUAUCUAUCUAGUAGUCUAAUAGUGUAUUGUACCUGUUUCUUUCUCUCAGUCAUAUGCACUGUAACCCUGUUUCCUUUCAUCGCCUGCAGGAACAGAAGAGAUCGUUUCGAGGAGAAGAUGUCCCAGAAAGCAGCAGACAGGACCUCCUCACCCAUGGCCCUGCAUUCAGAUUCACACAAGCAGAGCAUCCUGAGCAAAUUUGACAAGCUCAGGAAAAGGGACCUACUGUGCGACAUCACUCUGGUCGUGGAAGACGUGCACUACAAGGCGCACAAAGCCCUGCUGGCAGCAAGCAGCGAGUACUUUUCCCUCAUGUUCACGGCAGAAGAUCAGAUCAGUCAGUCGACCUACCAGCUGGAUGGUAUGGCAGCCAAGAUGUUUGCAGCGGUGCUGGAUUUCAUCUACAGCGCCCAGGUGUCCGUGGAGGAGAGCGCCAAAGAGCAGCUUCUGGCCACGGCUCGUCUGAUGGAGGUCCACGACCUCGUCAAGGUGCUCACUCAACUCUCGCGCUCUCCUGCAGCGAGUAGAACUGAGCAGGUAAAGGUUGACAUGGCCGUGGCUCCAGAUCUGUCCAAAUGCAAAAGAGGACGGCCAAAGAAAAAUGUGCCUGUGACCGAGUUGGAGGAGGGAAGUGUGACAUGCGUGAGCUCAGAGGAGAGACUGGCUGGAAAUAUGGACCGUGGUGAUGUAGUUACAGAGUCGUGUACUAAAAACGAUGCAGAUUGCAACGCAGCAGCCGACCAGAGCCGCAAGAGCAAACGCAAAAUCAGGCCACCGGUGAAAUACAAGAGUUACAAGGUGAGCAGCAGCGACACAGCAGGAGGGGAAGAGCCUGGGAAGAGAGGCAGGAAAAGGAAAUACCCCAACACGGAGCCCCGGUGCGAGGACUGUGGCAAAGUGUUCAAAAACCACCUGUUUUUAAAGAUUCACCAGAGGACUCACACAGGAGAGAAGCCUUUUCGGUGCCUGGUUUGUGGAAAGAGUUUUACCCAGAAGCACACUCUGCUGGUGCACCAGCGCAUGCACACGGGAGAAAAACCGUUCGUCUGUACCGUCUGCUCCAAAGCGCUGUCCACCAAACACGCCCUACAAGAGCACAUGAACCUCCAUGAAGGAGGAAAAUCCUUCAGCUGUGAUAAAUGUGGGAAGACCUUCACUCAGAAGAGGCAACUUAAAAGCCAUUACCGAGUUCAUACAGGCAAAUCUUUACCAGAAUGUGCUCAGUGUCAUCACAAGUUCAUGGACACGGCUCAGCUGAAGAAGCACCUGAGAACUCACACAGGUGAGAAGCCUUUCACCUGCGAGAUCUGUGGGAAGUGUUUCACAGCCAAGAGCACUCUGCAGACUCAUAUCAGAAUACACAGAGGAGAGAAGCCGUACGACUGUAACAUCUGCAACAAGUCGUUCUCAGACCCCAGCGCGAGACGACGACAUGUCGCCUCUCACUCGGGGAAGAAGCCCUUCACUUGCUCCUUCUGCAGCCUCUCGUUUACGCGCCUGGACAAUCUGAAAACACACACCAGGUCACACAACAAGGAAAGAGCCGCGACACCCGAAGCAUCACCAGAUGCAGCGGACGCCGCAGUGCCACCGCCGCCAGAGGAAGUGCGUAGCAUUCUGCAGUACCAGCUGCCCUCCAGCUCUCAACAGGAGAUCCAGCUGGUGGUGACGGGAGACGUGGACAACAUUAACUUUGUGCCGGGUCAGAACCAGGAGAUCAGCAUCAUCGCCACAGAGGGGGAUGCGGCAGAAUCGGCCCACCCCAGACUCACCCUCCUCGCCCAGUCGUCGCACCAGAACGUGGCUCUGGUCACUCAGGGCGGCGUGGUGGACCAGAGCCCUCACAUUCAGACUCUCAGUAUGCUGGAGGGCCAGAUGACGCACCAGCCUGAGCAGAUGCACGUCAUCACCCUGAGUAAAGAGGCGAUGGAGCACCUGCAGGCCCAUCACGGUCCCCCGCAGCCCCUUCAGAUGGCGCAGCGACCCGUCCAGCAGCUGCAGUUGGUGCACCAGCCGAUCCAGCACCUGGCUGUCGCUCAGGACGUCCCGCAGGGGCCGGUGAGCAGGGAGCAGCACGGCCAGGCCAUUCACAUCAGCAGCCAGAGCAGCCAGCCCAUCUCCAUCAGCCAGACCAAUGAGCAGAUCUCCAGCCACCACAUCCAGGGACAGACGUUUCAGAUCCAGGCUGGGACCGUCUCCUACCUGUACACCACCGGGCUGCCGCAGGACAGCUGAGUUUGGGCCAAAGCUAGACGGAUAAUGCUGCUGCCUUACAUUAAUAAUCGGUGCUGGUAAAACGAGACAUUGCCACCUUGUUACGAGGAUAAAUCUUCUCAAUGACGCUGGUGUGGCGGCAGAAUCUCCUCCAUCUCAGCAUGAGCAGGUAUUUGAUCUGAGCCAGGUGAUACGAUCUGUCUGUGUAGAACUGUGGUUAAAUGACAUUACUCAUGUCUAAAUUCUUUUCUACAGCAUAUUAACACUUCUUUAUGAUCUAUUUUCUGGAGUGUUUGUAACGUCCUCACCUGGUGUAGAAGUGGAGGCAGACUGUCAGCAGUGUACUCUAAACUCAAGCAACUAUCCCGCUCCUUCUGCAUGACGUCAGCCUGAGACUGAACCGGCAAAGCUUCAGCCACCUGCAUCCAGGAGGAGGGUUGUUCAGUAAAAAUCAAGUACAUGUUGAUCUUUGAAGCGAGCAUUAAAUAUCAUCAAAAGGCUGUAAAGCCUCUAACAACCUAGAAAUGAACAAAUGAUUUUUCUGUCUGACCUGAAGCCCUCUCAGUGCAUGUUCUCUCUCCACGGUGCAUGUUCUCUCUCCUCGGUGCAUGUUCUCUCUCCACGGUGCAUGUUCUCUCUCCUCGGUGCAUGUUCUCUCUCCUCGGUGCAUGUUCUCUCUCCACGCGGAAGAAGGAAACAUCUUUUGGAGGCGGAACAGAACUGAAACAAAGCUAGAAAUUAAUUGCACAAAAAACCCGCCAACCCGCAAUGAAAGCUAUGAAGAAAGACGACAACGUGAAAUCUUUAUACAAAUUAAAAGUUGAAUUAAUUUGCAAUAAAAUGCAACACACUUGCAGUUUUUACUACAGCCUUCUGUCUGGUAGGACCAAGCUAAUGUUAGCAAUGUUUUAGCAUUACCCUUGUCGUGGCCACAGAGGCCUUUGUUCAAAGUUAAGGAGUCAACAACAACUCAUUUUCUGGUGAAUAUAUGACCAAAGUCAUGAGGAUUCAUUUUUCUGGGGACCAUGAAUGUCUGAACAAAAUGACAUGACAAUCCAAUAAGUAGUUAAGAUAUUUCAGCCUGAACCAAACUGGUGCACCGACCCACCAACGUCUCCUUCCCGAGAGCGACGGAGGAUUUGGAAGCUGCCAAUUUCAAACGCUGCGUCAACAAUUCAGAAAAUCAGUUCAGUUUUACACAUUUAAUUGUAAUUAUUGUUUUUGAUAAUCAUGUUUUCACUGAGAAUAAAUCUAAAAAAGUUCCAACUAACUAGCAAUCUAGACAUAUUUCCAGAUUUAUCUAAAAUAAUCUGUUUACAAUAAUAAUUUGAUGGUUUUCCCACAAAAAAAACUAGAGCGUCAGUGUAAGUUGCCUGCUGGACCACAAUUGGCUUCCAAACUAGUUAAGACGUCAUAAAAUAAUCCUGAACGUGUGAAACUCUGAUUUAAGGUUAGCACAGAGAAACUUUACCCCUUCAGCAGAUUAAAAAGAACUCUCCACAUACAUCGUUCUGCACAGUGAAGCUCAGACAUCCAUCUAACAAGGAAAUUACAUUUUUGAGUGGACGAGGGGGCUUUAAGUGCCACCUACCUGGCAACCCAGACAGCAAAACAAACACCAGUAACACACAACCAUUACCCGAGCUUCCACACCUGUAGCAUCUGGACGGCACCGCUUCUUGAGCAAAUCCAUUCUCCUCAAUUUCCGCCCGGAGUGCUGAGAGUUGACGCGACAGAUCUGCCUCCAUCUGCCCCACUGUGACAGAGGAGGACACUACUCUGUACACGUCACACAUGGCUCAGGAUCAACACGCCUAGGAACUGGGGAAUCCAAACAUUUAGACUUUCUUAAAUCCUGCCAAACCUCUGCCUCCUCAUGCUGACUGCAUUUCAUCUGUAGAGGGCUCCAACGUUACACUGGAGUCCUGUUUGUUAGACUAUGAUGUCAAUGAUGUUUGGCUUUGUUGAUACAUACCACGUCAACAGAAUUUUUUAAAUAUACAACACAUACUGCAAAUAUUUGAUUAUGCACCAGUUGUUGAGCAGCACCUACCUCAACAAGCAUUCCUCUUGGAUACAGUGUGUGAUUGGCUCUUAGCUCAUGAGGUGAUUACCCAAUAGCAAAUCGCCUCCUUGGUGCCUGCAAAGUCAAAUCAGCAGCUGUGCAAUUCCUCUGGAGACAGAAAUAAAACAAAGGCAGAUCAAACCAACUCCAGAUUGUCAGUGGUUCUUUAAGCUUUAUUUACAUGCACCACCUCUGAUACAACCAAGAGAGGAAGUGGAAUUACAACUGGCAAUGUCAACUUGGUGUCGCUUCUGUUUCUGUAGGAGCAAUAGGAAUAAAAGGAGUUUGAAUAUUGGCAGUGAGAGUUACUCAAGGUUAAUGUCAAAGAAAAAGAAAAGGAGCUUCAAGUUGGUAUAAAAUCACCCAUGUGAAGCUAGAAAAAUGGUAUUUGGAAGCACCCGUGUGCAGAAUUUGUGUAAAAAAAAAAUAAAAAAAAAAGGGGGGAGAUUCUAUAUUUCUGUGACAUUUGGAUUUUCUCAACUCAAGAGGACGACACCAUUUUAGGCACAAAUUGCCGUUUGUGGCGGUCAAAAUGUUGAAUAAACCAUUAAAACAAACGUGCUGUUACACAGCUCUACCACACCUCGUGUGGGAAAAAAAUAAAGCACAAAAUAUGUACAUAUGGAAAGUAAAAUAAAUAAAUUCAGUGAGUUUCCAGCUGAUAUAGAUGCAAAAAAAAAAAAAAAGUUCAUCCUGCCGUUCCUACAAAACUGUGCUGAUGAUUAUAGCACUGGUUCCUAAUAUCGAUACACUGUAUAUCUUCUUAUUUCCACUUCAUUAAAUGCAGAAAUAUUUUGGCAAUAUAUAAAUAAUGUGGUUUCUUUCUCAAAUGGCAAAAUGGUUCUAAGAUGCUACGCAGCCUCCUCUUAUAGAGGUGGAAACACUAUUUGACCCCAGCACCUGCUAUAGUGCUGAUAACAGAGGGGAGGCUACUGAUGCUGCUCCAUCUGCAGCCACUCCCUAUCCUCUUAUUUAUAGCACCAACAACUCCUUCAAAUUAACAAACACCAAAAUAUCGUAGUCGAGUGCCGUCAAGUCUCUAACGGUGGUUAUUUUCAAUCCAAAUAGUCGUACGUGUUCACUAAUAUAAAUGGUGUCAACUAGAGCUACAUCAUGUUUCCUACCAAACACGGUCCUUAAUUCUGUCCUAAACUCUGUGUACUGAGCAGUGCUUCCAAUAUUGCAGUAAGUGGAAGAGGAGGAGGAGGAGAAGAUGGUGAAAAGGGAUCUGCAGCAGAAACACCAUUUUAUCAAGACUUCAGUAACGCACCUCUUCAGAAGGAACAGAAUUCACAGUUAUGUCACUAAAAUCACGGGGUAAAAUAAACAUUACGUACGAAAACCACACAAUGUAGAUCAGUUCACAUCUUGAACACAUAUUAACCUCUACAGAUCGAUAUUUGGUGACUGUGCAUCAAUGGAAGGGGGGGGGGGGGGUCAUUAACAUUUAGCCUCUCAAAGAAACAUUAAAAUAGAAAUAAAAAAAGCUAGUCAAGUAUCCUCCACUGGAACGUAAUAAUGUAACAUUCUCUGCAGCUUUUUCUGUAAACAGGCCGUCACUCACAACAGGCUGACAGCUGGUUUGGCAAAAAUGUUUCAGGUUUAGGUAUGAAAGGGUGCGAGAGAUGAGAGAAAGCAGGGUGGAAACAGAAUUCAUCUUCAGUUCCAUGUACCACUUUGUGAUACUGCAUGAGUGAUUCCCUGAGACUAACACGAGUAGAUGCUUUUCAUAUAGUUUUAACAAAACGUCCUGUACUUCCAGUCAGUGCUGUUGUUCACAGCGCCCAGGCAUUGAUCUUUUUAAAAGAUUUUUUUUCCCCUCCACUGUGAAGACACCAUUGUGUGUCUCGGACACUUAUAAUACGGUACCAAACUGAAUGCCUCACGUUAAAAAUAAUGGGGAAAAAAAAAAUACUACAUGAAUACCCUUUUACAUAGUUUCUUCCCUCUAGUUGCCUGACGCAGGACAAUGAACCCCAAUUUACAUUUUCCCGACUUCUUUGUUUUUGUUUUUAAACCCCAUGCUCAGCUCUGACUGAGCUCCUCAGCCCAGCUGUGAGGGGACGUGUUUUUCGAGCUGGAGAAGCUUCCUGAAUUUCUGUUGGCGUUCUGAGCGGCGGUGAGGCGAGAGUCGAAGCUGAGGUCCAGGCAGUCUGCGUCCAUCAGUUCAUUGCGGAUGAUGGAGUCCAUGUCGCACUCACUGCCGUUGAACACGUCGAGGUCCAGGUCGGCGGAAAAGCGAUCCUGGCCGGACAAACCAGAGCCGAGCUGCAUAGAGUCGUUCUUGCUGGGAGACCUCAGGAGCGGCUGCUUGGCGUCGGCGGGGCCGGCGUCUUUGUCAGAGGUUGACAAGCCAGCUUGCCAACCAGGCACUGAGGAGCUUUGGGCCUCACCUGCGCUGGUGUGGUUCACCAACGUGUGGUCUUUGCGGAGCAGCAUGGCGUUUCGCCGGGAGUUCUGCAGGGCGAUGGCGGUGCUGGCCUGCGACAUCAGCGGGUCAGACUGGGUGAGCAUGACGUUGCUGUGGCUGUGGGGGUCCAGGUUGAGCAGGUCCUGCAGGGUCUGGUGGUCGCUGAAGUGCGAGAUGCAGGAGAAGGUGGUCUGCUUGUUCUCCUGGAUGGUCUGCAUGGGCGACUGCCGCAGGCUCGUGAUGGACGGCGGGCUAAAAAGAGGGUUCGGCACGUAGCUGCCAGCAGGGCUACCCAGACUGCUCCCCGAGCAGCUGAAGGUAAACACUGAGCUGCCCUGCCCGUUGUCGCCGUUCUCUUCCUCUCCAGGAGGAGGCUGCUGGGAUGCCGUCAGGCUGAUAUUGUCUAAAAGGUCGUCCAUGAGGUUGUCAGAGAGCCCGUCGUUGAGGUUCAUGGUACCUGCCAGGUCAGAGAGCCCUGUGGGCCCCGUGGACGGGGACAUGCUGCUGGGGCUGGAGUACAGCAUCGGGGAGAGGGGCGAGUUGUCAUCGGGCACCUCGUCCAGCUCCAGGUUGGCAAGGAUCGGGGACAGACGGCCGCUGAGUGUGCUGGCGUUGGAAUUGGUCCGGGAGCGGAAGUCUGUCCAGGCGUCCAGCUCGUCGCUGCUGCGGGAGGUGGGACUCCCCGUCCAUUUGGAGAGGCUGGAGGAGCUCUCCGAGCUGCCUUCUUGAGCUGCCUGCAGCGAGGCUUUCUUCUUGGUGGCCCGUCCUCGGGCUCCUUUGAUGUACUUGCUGUUAUCCAUCGAUACGGCUCGUCGUCGGGGAGCUUUGCCUCCUUUCCCACCUUCUGGGUUGACCAUCCACCAGGAGCUCUUCCCCGUUCCUUCAUUCUGGACUUUCACAAAACGACUAUGGAGGGACAGAUUGUGUCGGAUGGAAUUCUGCAAUAAAAACAAAUUAGAACAAUUAAAUGCACAGUCUUCCAGUAGAGCUAGUCAGAGCUAAUGGAAACUAGAGUCAAAUUCCAUGUGUGCCUAAACAUACUUGGUCACCAAAGCGGAUUCUGAUAUUUAAAUUAUACAUCCCGACAAUACAAAACCAAGGGGGAGCAGAACAAUCAGUUUUUUCAACAAGUCAACAGUUUAGCCACAUUUUAUUCAUUUUAUUUGGAGGUAAAACGGAGAGAGGGGACCUGAAUAAUGAUCCUCGUUCAGGAUAAUGUCGUAUGCUCACAACUAGGGAAAGUACAGUUAGUCAAAGUUGAAAGAGGAAGUUGAUCUGUGAUUGAAAGUCAAUUUCAUGACUUUUGGAAACAGUAGCUGUCAAAACAAUCUGAUCACAAGUUUACUGAGUUGUUCUGGAACCACGUAAGCUUCCUCAGCAGAUGGAUUCUGCACAGCGGUCAUGGCUUUGUGGAUGUUUGAGUUUGAAUACAUUUUGAACUCAAUUUAACUUUCAAUCCCAUCUUUAAGCCAACACGAACAACAAGUUCAGAAAAUGUAACAUUUGCUGAGGAAGAUCAUGCGACACACUUGAAAGCUCCAGAAGAGCUACUGAAUGGACCUCGUGGUGUUUAAACAAUAGUCGUUUUACAUCAUCGCCUUUGUUUUCGCUACCAAAUAACGGACCUUUUUGUGUUAAUACCAACAUGUUCCCAGAAUUCAACAAAUAACUUUGUGAGUACAAUUAUAUUAAUAACAGACAAGAUGAAGAACACUACAACGAUGAGACUAAAGGUGUAAUAAACCGGAAUUAUCCUUCAAGAGAUGACUGGGCUCUCUGUGGAGCUGUCCGUCUGUAGGUCUAUGAAGUUUGUGAUGAAAGAAGAUGAGAAAUUAUUUGGGGUCCUAAGAAAGAAAUUGAUGGGUCACCAGAUGUUUAUGAGACACAGAAGUAAGUCUAUUAUGAGUGAAAUAUAUAUAUAUUUUUUUGUAUCGUGAAAUACUGGAUAUUUUCAACUCUUCAAGCCUCUAAAAAUCCUUCAAAUGAAACAGUCAGUGAAGGACAAACCCUCUUUGGUUGAAUUGCUCACAACCGACACGACUUUAUUUUGAGGGGGGUCACAAAGCAAAAAAAGUUGGCAACCUUUGCCCUGGAGGUAGAAAAUAAAGACUUUGAAAAUCCAACACCGUCGGCGUCCCACAACGAAAAACUCAAGGUUUUCAAUACAAACUAUUACAACCAAGUACUGUGAACAAUACUGCAGUGACUUCCUCUUUGCACCUCACACUGUGACCCAUUUCUCGCUCUAAAACGUCCACAGGUCCCCGGAGAUGUUCCCGACCAUGUACAAAAUUAAACAGCUGGAGCCUGCUGCCGACCGCACCAAGUCACACUGCAGUAGCAGAAGAAGAAAUCUCUGCAGUCCAAAGGCCAAGUUCACUGGGAGAGGGUCCAGCAUAAUGCUCUUAAGCUUGAAUUAACUUGAGUAAACCGAGGUCCUAUUUAAAACCAUCUCUCAGAAGAUUAAACUAAUCAAACACUAAAGAAGCUCAACCUACACAAGGCUGACCCUGACGUUUACCAUGUGGAUCCUAUGAAAGCAGCUGUGAGGGAAGUUUCCCUCCAGCUUUGUGACUACUGAGAGAUCACAGAGGAGCGUUGGCCGCAGUUCUCCUCUCAAUGCAAUGAGUCAAUGACCCACUGAAAACUUCCAGCAAAGCUCGAUCUCAAGCCAAUUAAAGGAUCAAGUCAACGGGCCAACACUUUCAUCACUUACAACAUGUGACAGAAAUAAAACUGCAGGUACUACAUUGCUCUUUUCUGUCUUAUUUCCACCCUCCGGAAGUUAGCUGGACAGAGCUGGUGACUUUUGCUGACCACUCAGAAUUACCCAAAGAUCUCCUCAUCAGCUUAAAGUGCCGACCUAAAAGAAGAAGGCAGCGUGUUUCUGUAUUUUUACGCCGGUCCAUUUCUCGACUUCCUGACACAGUGGCACUGAGCCACAAGAACAUUUGUUCCUACUGAAGAUAUACAUCUUUAAAGAAAUCGUUCAACAUUUUGGGAAAUACUUUUUGUCGAUAGUUAUACAAGUAGAUUGAUACCACGCUCUUGUCUCUACGGCACAAAGACUAGAACCCCCCCCCCCUCCAGUUUAACUAGCUAAACAAACCGGCUGUUGGUAGUUUUCCCGCCGAACAUUGUUGUGGGGAUUGUUUACGUGCUGCUGAGUAUUUACAGCAGCAGGAUGGUGGAUUGUCAUACGUGUAUAACCUGAAGGCUGGUUUAAAUGAAAAGAUGAUAAAUCUUUGAUUGUUUGAUAAUGAGUGCCAAGAAGAUGAAGAGAGCGCAGGAGUUAAAACACACUGAGGGAGCAACUCAAGAGUGUGCAGACUUUGUUUUAUUUCCUUCGUGUUAUAUUCGCCUGCACCUGUGACUAAAUAAAAUAUGGAUGUUUUUAGUGAUUUUUACUUUUCUCCGGAGGCGGAUGAAUAAAUUACCCUCAUGGAGGAAUCUUUCUCGGGUGGUUUUCCUUUUUUAAGUUGGCUGAAAAUCUGCUUUAAUGUCCAUAAAACGACAAGAUUAUAUGAACAAUUUAGGAAAACCCAAACUGCUGCUGCAGAGAGACAACUUUUAACCCCAUUGGAAUGCUGAGGACACACCUCUGACACAAAAUAGACUGAUUCCACCAACACCAGUGUUGUGAUUAAAGGAAACUAUAGAGGACAACAUGAGGUCAUAAUUCCACUAUUCUAAAUAUAUACCAAGUGUGUACUUUGAGGCACAACUGUCUGCACAAAAUACUUUGAAACAAAUUGGGUCAUUUUACACCAUGUGCUUGUGAGGCAGCCAAACACUUCCCAUGUUCCUGCCGAUCAUUAACACCAAAAUAUUUCUCAUAAUAAAUUUUAAAAUAAAACUUAAAAUCAUCCUAUACAGGGAAGAGGAAGAGCAUGCCUUUGUUCAUGGAUGUUUUCUUUAAGAACCGCCUCCCACGAUACCGAAUAUCACAUGUGUCAACAGCUCCGGUUUGUAAAUGCUCAAGUUGACAGACUUUAUCUUUUAGAAAGAAGUCAUUAGGAACACAGUUGACACCAUAAAAGCACCACCUGUCCUGUUCAGUCUCAUGAAAUCCAAUACAACAGCCCUGCAAUAAACAAAUAAACCUCUGACACUUUGAUUCUGGUUGAGCUUGUCCAGAGGGUUUUCAUUCAACUCUGUGGUCUUUCAUUAGGCCGUAACUUGUAGUGUUGCUGUGUUAGAUAGUAUUACGUUACAGCAGAUACACUUUGCAAUACAACACCGUACAGAACAAUAAAACAAUCUAGAACAUCAAAAAUGUCCACAGAACUCAAUCGACUCUCUGAUGCAAAAUGUUAUCAGCGGCACAAAGGCUGUUAUCUAUUACAGGAAUGCUGAAUGUUGUUUUGCUACACAGGGGAUGCUAUUCUUGUGUCCACCCCUCCUGUAUACAGGUAGUUAAUGUUUGCUGUGGAUACACAAACACAAAAGUCCUGCAAUGUUCUGGAUGUGUGACAUGUAAAAAGCUAAAGCUGCCAGGCCUGCCUCUGAACAGAACGAUCCAGUGGAUGUUAUUGCAUCUUUAAAGCUCCAGCGACGCGCUACGUUUUCCGAAUGCUGCACAGGUAGAUACAGUAGGAGCCAUGCAGCGUUUAAAAAAAAAAAAAAAAAGAAGACAAAUCACAAAGUGCAACUCCUGCCUGCCCCUCCCCCAUGCAGUCACAGCAGCUCUGCAGCACCCUUUGAGCAGAGCGGGGACUGGAGCAAUGCCAGUUUAGCCGGAGCCAGAUCCAAAGAGAAACACUGAGCUUCUCUCACACUGCUACACAUUGACCUACAUAAUUUAUAGUCAGCUGAUUGAUUCUUGUGUGCAGGCCACGUGGAGAAAAAAAAGACAGUGUG